AGUGAACGCUGGCGGUAGGCCUAACACAUGCAAGUCGAACGGCAGCACAGUAAGAGCUUGCUCUUACGGGUGGCGAGUGGCGGACGGGUGAGGAAUACAUCGGAAUCUACUUUUUCGUGGGGGAUAACGUAGGGAAACUUACGCUAAUACCGCAUACGACCUACGGGUGAAAGCAGGGGAUCUUCGGACCUUGCGCGAUUGAAUGAGCCGAUGUCGGAUUAGCUAGUUGGCGGGGUAAAGGCCCACCAAGGCGACGAUCCGUAGCUGGGCUGAGAGGAUGAUCGGCCACACUGGAACUGAGACACGGUCCAGACUCCUACGGGAGGCAGCAGUGGGGAAUAUUGGACAAUGGGCGCAAGCCUGAUCCAGCCAUACCGCGUGGGUGAAGAAGGCCUUCGGGUUGUAAAGACCUUUUGUUGGGAAAGAAAAGCAGCAGGUUAAUACCCCGCUGUUCUGACGGUACCCAAAGAAUAAGCACCGGCUAACUUCGUG
rnacentral:rRNA from 1 species